rnacentral:lncRNA from 13 species
GUGCCGUAAGGUGUCAGUCCUAGGAGGUGUCAGUACAAGGAGGUGCUAGGAGGAGGUAACAGUGCUAGGAGGAGGUGCCAUUAGGUGUCAGUACAAGGAGGUGCUAGGAGGAGGUGCCAUUCUAGAAUGUAAUAUUUCCAGCAGUACUAUGUGUUUACAUCUAUGUCUCUAACACUUUUCUCCCUCUCCUUGUCGGCUCUGGAGUGUGUGUCAGUACUAGGAGGUGUGGUUUGACAGAGGACGGGCCAUAUUUAAGGCUCUACUUUCUCUCCUUUACUAGCUAAGAUGAUUAGAGGUUAAGACCUGGCCCUAAAGGAAGGGGGGGGUAUUACGUCCUAGAUGGCAUCCUACUCCUCGUAUAGUGCACUACUUUUGGCUACUAUAUGGAGAAUAGGGUGUCAUUUGUGAUUGGUCACUGUAUUGGGUUAGGCCAGCCCAGAUUUGCAUAGCUCCUCCCAAUUUGAGUAUUUCUGUCCAAUAGUGGGCCGGCAGCAUACCAACCCUGCUGCUGUGUCCUCCACCGCCUCGCUGGCGCAGGAAGCAUGCAAAAGUUUACUUAACAAGAAGGCGGAUGCUGCUAAGGUAAGGAGUUAAAUCUGAUGUCAUAUAGCUAGCUGUCUCUCUCUCUCUCUCUCUCUCUACACACACACACCCCUUCUGGUUCACGGGGGUGGUGAGGAGAUUACUUGAUUUAGUGGAGAAUUACAGGCUGUAUAUGUAAAGAGGGAAAUUAAGAUUUG